rnacentral:miRNA from 1 species
GGGUAUAUAUGUGUGUGU